CCUCCCUCAAUGUUCCGCUUGGUUGAAGAGGAUGACUUUUUCCAAUAGAGGACGACUGGUUUUCAGUCACCAGUGUACAAGUAGCUGCGCUCCCCUGCUAGAACCUCCAAACAAGCUCUCAAGACUUAGAAACUACAGUACAGUGUGUC
rnacentral:sRNA from 1 species